CGGUAUCCUGACCGUGCAAAGGUAGCAUAAUCAUUUGCCUUCUAAUUAAAGGCUAGUAUGAACGGAAAACCGAAAACUCCCCUGUCUCUUUUUUAACCUUAAAAAUUAACCUUCAGGUGAAGAGGCCUGAAUUCUAUUAAAAGACAAGAAGACCCUGUCGAGCUUGAUUUUAAACCUAUAUAAUUCCACUUUUACCCAAUAUAAAAAUUUUGUUGGGGCGACAAAGGAGUAAACAAAACCUCCUUAACACCUUAGACCUAUAGUCCCUCUAUAGACCCAUUUCAUGCUCUCCUACACUAGCUACCGCAGGGAUAACAGACUAAUUUUUCUCAAGAGCCCAUAUCUACAGAAAAGUUUAGCACCUCGAUGUUGGCUUAAGAACUCU
rnacentral:rRNA from 1 species